GACGAACGCUGGCGGCGUGCUUAACACAUGCGAGUCGAACGGAAAGGCCCCUUUGGGGGUACUCGAGUGGCGAACGGGUGAGUAACACGUGAGUAACCUGCCCUUGACUUCGGGAUAACUUCAGGAAACUGGGGCUAAUACCGGAUAGGAAUCCUUGCUGCAUGGUGGGGGUUGGAAAGCUUCGGCGGUUUUGGAUGGACUCGCGGCUUAUCAGCUUGUUGGUGGGGUAGUGGCUUACCAAGGCUUUGACGGGUAGCCGGCCUGAGAGGGCGACCGGCCACAGUGGGACUGAGAGUCGGCCCAGACUCCUACGGGAGGCAGCAGUGGGGAAUAUUGCACAAUGGGCGGAAGCCUGAUGCAGCAACGCCGCGGGCGGGAUGACGGCCUUCGGGUUGUAAACCGCUUUCAGCAGGGGCGAAGCUUGUGGUGACGGUACCUGCAGAAGAAGCACCGGCUAACUACGUG
rnacentral:rRNA from 1 species